GACGAACGCUGGCGGCGUGCUUAACACAUGCAAGUCGAACGGAAAGGCCUGCUUUCCCUUGUGGAUUGCGGGUACUCGAGUGGCGAACGGGUGAGUAACACGUGAGUGAUCUGCCCCCAACUUGGGUAUAAGCCUGGGAAACUGGGUCUAAUUCCCGAUAGGACUGCAGGGUGGUGCCUGUGGUGGAAAACGAUUUUCUAGUGGUUGGGGAUGAGCUCGCGGCCUAUCAGCUUGUUGGUGGGGUAAUGGCCUACCAAGGCGGCGACGGGUAGCCGGCCUGAGAGGGUGGACGGCCACAUUGGGACUGAGAUACGGCCCAGACUCCUACGGGAGGCAGCAGUGGGGAAUAUUGCACAAUGGGCGGAAGCCUGAUGCAGCGACGCCGCGUGGGGGAUGACGGCCUUAGGGUGGUAAACUCCUUUCGACCGCGAGGAAGCCACCUGGUUGGAAGGGUGGUGACGGUAGUGGUAGAAGAAGCACCGGCUAACUACGUG
rnacentral:rRNA from 1 species